CUGAGCCGGGCCUCUGGGUCACUGGGCUCCGGGUCACCAAUUGCUGGGGUCUCCAUUCUCCACACCAGUGGUUGGGGUCCCAAGUUCCCUCGCUGGUCCUGUGUAACAACAAACUCCCUCUCCCAUCACCUCGUUAAACCCAUAGCACCUAGGGAAACUGAGUCCCACCCCCUCUGCAUGCAAACCAUAGGAAAACCAGGAAAA